UUUUGUCUUUUUAAUAAUUGAAAUGAUUCUUUUUUCUUUUCUCCUAUUAUACCAUUAAUUUUUUACCAGUUAAUAACAAUCAAUAGAAUCUUAUACACGAGUAAUGAAAAUCUAUGUAAGAAUAUUGGAUAAAAUUUGUCAAAUCUAGUUAACUUGUAAAAUCUUCUCAACUAUUGAAAUCAUCAAAUUCCAUUAAAAUUCAUGCCCCAAUAACCCCUCCUAAAUAUUUCUAAUGCAUUAAUAUUAAAAAAAAUGAGUAUUUUAUACGCAUAAACAAUUUAUGGAUAUCGUUAGUCCAUUAUUUGAGUAAAUUCUCCAGGGAAGUUAGAGUUUAUAGUGAUGCAAUUGUACCAUGAACGUAGUUAAAAAACUAAAAAAAUUACAUAUGAUGGGCUUUGUUGUUACUGAACAUAUUUAGCAAAUAAUUACAUUACCAAAUAUGGGUCUAAAUUUGUUAUAGUAGAGCCCAAUAUUGUAAUAGAUAACUCAAAAAUCCUACUACAUACGAUGGACUUUUUGAAAAUUGAACAUAUUCAGUCCAUUUCUUUUAUGAAUUAUGCAAUAAAUUAAAUAAUAACAAAUUGACUCUCUCGGGACAAAAAAAGGAUUAGGGUUCUAACAAAAUCAAGAUAUUUCACCAGAGGAACACAGGUGAGAAGACGUCUACGUACUACCGAGCAUAUUGUAUUCUUAUUAUUUGUCCCUACCACCAAUUCUUUCCGAUUACUGAUUCUUUUUUCUUUUCAAUUGAUCUCAUUGAAAAAAAAAACAAAUUUCCCCGACGAUCCUCUGAUUCAUCUGCAAAUCAUUGUCCUCAAAUGGCUUUGGGGAAGAGACGCGGUGGAUUGGUGAUUGCUGGCUGAAUGAUUCCAAAACUGAUACGGAUACAGUGUGCAGAUAACUGAAGAAUCGAACAUAUAUUGUUUCAGUAUGAUGGAUCUAUUGUGUUUCAGUACUGUCCAGGGUCCAGGGAGCAAUGAUCGUGUAACAUAGUUUCUAUUGUAUUUUUGUUAAAUGUUAAGCUAAUGUAAUUAAGGUAAUAUAAUUUGAAUGAACAUUGGGGAACGACAUUAUUAAGGGUGGACUGUCAAUGGCAUUUGUUGUAAAUUCUCUAGGGAAGAAUGGGCAGUUAAUUAUAUAGGCUGAGAGUGAAUAUGGUGCUGCCACAUAAGGAUGGCAUCCCUGUAAAUAAUUUACACUUGUAAGGUUAUAUUUUCAAAAUGUUUCUUCAUUAAUAAGAAAGGGAUA